UGAAUUGGAAUCAGUGGAUUUACUUUUUUCGAACUUCAAUAAUCUAUUGGGUUCGACAUUGGAUUUUUGUCUCCCACAGACUUCUGGUGGGCUAGUAAAUACAUAUUUCAAGUCUGUAUCCCUCUCCCGCGAUAACUAGCUCUGAUGCACAAAGCAGUAACUUCAAAACCCAGGAACAAAUCAGUCAAAGGACACCUAAAAGCAAGAAUCAGAGCAGCAGCGAGAUGGGGUCUUAUUGUUCAAUGAGAUCAGUAGGUGCCAUUCUCCACAGAUUCUUCGAUGGGGUGUCUUCAAAAUGCCCCACCAAUUCGUUUUCUUUUGCAGGCACUGGUCUGCUAAAUAGGAACCUGUUAUUGUCUCUAUCGUCUCUAUCACCGCAUUCUUCAUGGUCUUCAUUUUAUGUGGACCACAAACAUGAUAGCAAGUAUCAAGUUAGAAAGAUAUGGACUUCCCCUCCUCUGUGUAUGGGCAGGCGCUCCUCCAAAAUUGCCGGCAGAAAGGGCGCUCAAGAUGCAAAGAAGGCAAAACUGUACUCCAGACUUGGGAAGGAAGUUGUAUCUGCUGUUAAAAAAGGUGGUCCAAACCCAGUAUCCAAUAUGGUUCUAGCGGCUGUACUUGAGAAAGCCAAGGAGCUUGAUGUACCUAAGGAAAUUGUGGAACGUAACGUUAAGAGAGCAUCUGAGAAGGGACAAGAGGCUUACAUCGAAAAAGUUUAUGAGGUAUAUGGUUUUGGUGGAGUUAGUAUGGUAGUUGAGGUCUUAACAGAUAAGAUAACCCGAUCUGUGGCAGCUGUCAGAGAGGUUGUUAAGGACUAUGGAGGCAAAAUGGCGGAUCCUGGAUCAGUUAUGUUCAAGUUUAGGCGUGCACGUGUUGUAAAUAUAAAAGUUACAGAUGCUGAUAAAGAUCAGCUCCUUGCUGUUGCUUUAGAUGCUGGUGCAGAGGAUGUUAUCGAACCUCAAAAAUAUGAGGAUGAUACUGAUGAAGAUACGUCAGAAAGCUAUUAUAAAAUCGUAAGUUCAUCAGAUAACUACUCAGCUAUAUUAUCAAAAUUACGUGAGGAAGGAAUAGAUUUUGAGCCUGAUAAUGGUUCUGAGCUACUUCCAAUAGCUACUAUUGAGAAACAAAGACCACUGGUAUAGUGGUGCAUGGAUUAAAACCCAACCUAAUUUAUAGAACAUCGUUCUUGCUAAAUUUUGAUCACAUUUCUCAUGUAAUCUACGUUCACAAUUAUCCAAUCUCAAGAAAUAAGGUGGAUGAUGAGGCUAUGGACUUGAACAGGGUGCUUCUAUCCAAAUUACUUGAACUUGAUGAUGUUGAUGCCGUAUACACAGACCAGAAAUGAUAAAAAUCCAUGUCUCCUGUUCCUUCUUUGGCAAUUCAAUUGAGUAACUGAACAGUCACAUAAAGCUGUCUCCGUGUGGAAACUUUCAAAUUUUGCAGUGGCCUUACAAGCAAAAUAGAAAGAUUGCUUAUUGUUGCUCCGGUGAGCUGGUCUUAGGUGGCAGUUUUUUCUCUUUUCAACUACUUUUUUCACUUCCUAAUCUUAUAUUUUUAUUAGUUUCGGAGGUGAUGGCAGAUUUAUUCCUUGUUGCUAAUAGUUGAGAAAGCUAUUUGUUCUUGUUUACUGGUCUUCUUGUGGUAAUUUGUUUUGGGAAA